AUUAGAAUAAAAGUUGCAUACUAAAACCCAUUUGAUUUACAGGUUAAGUUGCAGGAAAGGAAAAAGGUUUCUAAAACUCUACCAGUGGAUUUCUUCUUAGCUGAUUGUAUGUUUAUAUAUAAUGGAUUGACUCACUAAACAUUUAUUAUCUUUAAGUUUUCAUGUGUUAUGUUUCUGUCAAUCUUAUUCAUUACUGUUGUCUAUUGCCAUCUAACUUUUUAGUUUGUUUCCUACACCUUCACAUGUUCAUAUAUGACGAAAUUGACAAGAAUAUCUAUUAAUCAACUAUUUUUAUUUCUGUCAGGCUGACAUGAAUCCAUCAAAAUCUCAGAAGUUUGAAAUAGUAUCAACUUCGAAGACUUUUAAGCAUCCAUAAGUUCCAUCUGGUGCCUUAGCAAGGGGACGAGGGAAAAUCUUCAAAGCUUUUGGUUCUGUCCAUAUGAAUCUGAAAAGGCCAAACAAGUAAGAGCAAACGCUGAACAGAGAACUUUGUUGGGCAAAAAUAAAAACUAUAAUGCAAUAGCUUUUAAUCAGAAUAAGCUAGCUCAGAAGGAUAGUCUUGGGCCUUUUGGUUUUGAUCCAAUAUUGGAAUAUGAUGCUUCCUUUUCGGAUGAAGAAGCGAUGCAAGGCACUCAAAGAAGCAAAAUAAGUCCAUAUGAAUAUGAAAAGACCAAAAAAGUAAGAGUAAGCAUUGAAUAGAGAACUUCGAUUAGCAAAAAUAAAAACUAUAAUGUAGUAGCUUCUAAUCAGAAUAAGCUAGCUCAGAAGGAUAGUCUUGGGCCUCCUGGAUUUGAUCCAAUAUUGGAAUAUGAUGCUUCCUUCCCUGAUGAAGAAGCGAUGCAAGACACUCAGAGAAGCAAAAUAAGUAUAUUAUUUUCUUAAGUUGUAAUCUUUGUUGUUGUUAGUGUACUGAUUUUUUUUACUUAAUUGUGAUUUACAGGUCCAUAUGCAUAUGAAAAGUCCAAAAAGGUAAGAGUAAGCGUUGAACAGAGAACUUCGAUUAGCAAAAAUAAAAACUAUAAUGCAGUAGCUUCUAAUCAGAAUAAGCAAGCUCAGAAGGAUAGUCUUUGGCCUCCUGAUUUUGAUCCAAUAUUGGAAUGUGAUUCUUCUUUCCUUGAUGAAGUAGCGACGCAAAGCACAAAAAGAAGCGAAAUAAGGCCACAUGAAUCUGAAAAGGCUAAAAAAGUGAGAGGAAAAAACAAGUGUAAAAAAGUUGCAGGACUCAAAGCUGGAGAAACGUUGAGAGUCACUUUUUAUCACAAUCGAGUUGUUGGGGAGAAUCAUGCCUUAUUUAUGAGACACUUAGGUGUAUUAGUUCGUGACCGUAAUAUGUGCCAAUUACGCAUACACUCAUAGAUGGAAAUCGAAGAAUAUAAGCUGGAGCACAUGUGACAAGCUGUUACGGACAAAUUUGAUAGUGAUAACAUAAAUGAUCAACGAGAUUAUGUCUUGAAACAUAUGAGAAAGUUAUGGAACAAUUGGAGAGGAUUUAUGCACAAGAACAUAAAGUCUAAGCCAUUCCGCGAUGCUUUAAGAGAUGUGCCAGAGGGGGUAGAUAAGAGUAAUUGGGAAUGACUGGUCAAAGAGCAUUUUUUAACUGAAAAAUUUAAGGAAACAAGUAUAACAAACUCGAUCAAUAGAUCUAAGUUGACAAUGCGUCAUCGUACGGGUAGUAAGCCUAUUCGAGAGAUCAUGUAUGAAUUUGUAGGCAAAGAUGGAAACCCCCCAGAUACGGCAACUAUCUUUUUUGAGACUCGUAAGAAGGACGACAAGCUUGUCGAACCUGAAACCAAUGAAAAAUAUAUCAAAAGCUUGAAAGUCUGAAGAACCUAUUGUUGAAGAAAGCGCACAUCAAGCAUAAGAACAAGAGAAUUUUGUUAUGUUAGGGAUGGUCUGAAGGCACUAUCUUAUGUACAUAUGCUGAAAUUUUAUUUUUUCUCUUUUUAGGAAUUAUUAAAAAUGAUGUCAUACUAUUUGGAUUGCUUUCUGGUAAUGUGAUGAUGUUCUACUAUUUGAAUUUC